rnacentral:rRNA from 1 species
GAGUGGCGGACGGGUGAGUAAUGUCUGGGAAACUGCCUGAUGGAGGGGGAUAACUACUGGAAACGGUGGCUAAUACCGCAUAACGUCGCAAGACCAAAGAGGGGGACCUUCGGGCCUCUUGCCAUCAGAUGUGCCCAGAUGGGAUUAGCUUGUUGGUGAGGUAACGGCUCACCAAGGCGACGAUCCCUAGCUGGUCUGAGAGGAUGACCAGCCACACUGGAACUGAGACACGGUCCAGACUCCUACGGGAGGCAGCAGUGGGGAAUAUUGCACAAUGGGCGCAAGCCUGAUGCAGCCAUGCCGCGUGUAUGAAGAAGGCCUUCGGGUUGUAAAGUACUUUCAGCGGGGAGGAAGGUGUUGUGGUUAAUAACCGCAGCAAUUGACGUUACCCGCAGAAGAAGCACCGGCUAACUCCGUGCCAGCAGCCGCGGUAAUACGGAGGGUGCAAGCGUUAAUCGGAAUUACUGGGCGUAAAGCGCACGCAGGCGGUCUGUCAAGUCGGAUGUGAAAUCCCCGGGCUCAACCUGGGAACUGCAUUCGAAACUGGCAGGCUUGAGUCUUGUAGAGGGGGGUAGAAUUCCAGGUGUAGCGGUGAAAUGCGUAGAGAUCUGGAGGAAUACCGGUGGCGAAGGCGGCCCCCUGGACAAAGACUGACGCUCAGGUGCGAAAGCGUGGGGAGCAAACAGGAUUAGAUACCCUGGUAGUCCACGCCGUAAACGAUGUCUACUUGGAGGUUGUGCCCUUGAGGCGUGGCUUCCGGAGCUAACGCGUUAAGUAGACCGCCUGGGGAGUACGGCCGCAAGGUUAAAACUCAAAUGAAUUGACGGGGGCCCGCACAAGCGGUGGAGCAUGUGGUUUAAUUCGAUGCAACGCGAAGAACCUUACCUGGUCUUGACAUCCACAGAACUUUCCAGAGAUGGAUUGGUGCCUUCGGGAACUGUGAGACAGGUGCUGCAUGGCUGUCGUCAGCUCGUGUUGUGAAAUGUUGGGUUAAGUCCCGCAACGAGCGCAACCCUUAUCCUUUGUUGCCAGCGGUCCGGCCGGGAACUCAAAGGAGACUGCCAGUGAUAAACUGGAGGAAGGUGGGGAUGACGUCAAGUCAUCAUGGCCCUUACGACCAGGGCUACACACGUGCUACAAUGGCGCAUACAAAGAGAAGCGACCUCGCGAGAGCAAGCGGACCUCAUAAAGUGCGUCGUAGUCCGGAUUGGAGUCUGCAACUCGACUCCAUGAAGUCGGAAUCGCUAGUAAUCGUGGAUCAGAAUGCCACGGUGAAUACGUUCCCGGGCCUUGUACACACCGCCCGUCACACCAUGGGAGUGGGUUGCAAAAGAAGUAGGUAGCUUAACCUUCGGGAGGGCGCUUACCACUUUGUGAUUCAUGACUGGGGUGAAGUCGUAACAAGGUAACCGUAGGGGAACCUGCGGUUGGA